CAGUAAGAGCCCUGAGAGAAGAUCAGGUAGAUAGGUUGGAAGUGGAAGUGUGGCGACACAUGUAGCGGACCAAUACUAAUCGCUCGAGGACUUAUCCUAG
rnacentral:rRNA from 1 species